rnacentral:rRNA from 1 species
GACGAACGCUGGCGGCGUGCUUAACACAUGCAAGUCGAACGGAAAGGCCCUGCUUUUGUGGGGUGCUUGAGUGGCGAACGGGUGAGUAACACGUGAGUAACCUGCCCUUGUCUUUGGGAUAACUUCAGGAAACUGGGGCUAAUACCGGAUAGGAGCUCCUGCUGCAUGGUGGGGGUUGGAAAGUUUCGGCGGUUGGGGCUGGACUCGCGGCUUAUCAGCUUGUUGGUGGGGUAGUGGCUUACCAAGGCUUUGACGGGUAGCCGGCCUGAGAGGGUGACCGGCCACAUUGGGACUGAGAUACGGCCCAGACUCCUACGGGAGGCAGCAGUGGGGAAUAUUGCACAAUGGGCGGAAGCCUGAUGCAGCAACGCCGCGUGCGGGAUGACGGCCUUCGGGUUGUAAACCGCUUUCGCCUGUGACGAAGCGUGAGUGACGGUAAUGGGUAAAGAAGCACCGGCUAACUACGUG